rnacentral:rRNA from 1 species
GACGCACCGGGCGAACGUUAUUCGGAAUCACUGGGCUUAAAGCGCGUGUAGGCGGUGGUAAAAGUCGGAUGUGAAAUCCUAUCGCCUCAACCGUAGAACUGCACCCGAUACUGUACGACUUGAGGAAGGUAGAGGAUUGUGGAACCUAUGGUGGAGCGGUGAAAUGUGUUGAUAUCAUGGGGAACGCCGGUGGCGAAAGCGACAAGCUGGGUCUUUACUGACGCUGAGACGCGAAAGCUAGGGUAGCAAACGGG